AGGCCACUGCUAUGGGGGUCCGACUAAGCCAUGCGAGUCAUGGGGCGCCUUGCGCGCACCGGCGGACGGCUCAGUAACACGUCGGUAACCUACCCUCGGGAGGGGGAUAACCCCGGGAAACUGGGGCUAAUCCCCCAUAGGCCUGAGGUACUGGAAGGUCCUCAGGCCGAAAGGGGCUCUGCCCGCCCGAGGAUGGGCCGGCGGCCGAUUAGGUAGUUGGUGGGGUAACGGCCCACCAAGCCGAAGAUCGGUACGGGCCAUGAGAGUGGGAGCCCGGAGAUGGACACUGAGACACGGGUCCAGGCCCUACGGGGCGCAGCAGGCGCGAAACCUCCGCAAUGCGGGCAACCGCGACGGGGGGACCCCCAGUGCCGUGGCAUCGCCACGGCUUUUCCGGAGUGUAAAGAGCUCCGGGAAUAAGGGCUGGGCAAGGCCGGUGGCAGCCGCCGCGGUAAUACCGGCGGCCCGAGUGGUGGCCGCUAUUAUUGGGCCUAAAGCGUCCGUAGCCGGGCCCGUAAGUCCCUGGCGAAAUCCCACGGCUCAACCGUGGGGCUUGCUGGGGAUACUGCGGGCCUUGGGACCGGGAGAGGCGGAGGGUACUCCUGGGGUAGGGGUGAAAUCCUAUAAUCCCAGGAGGACCGCCAGUGGCGAAGGCGCUCCGCUGGAACGGGUCCGACGGUGAGGGACGAAGGCCAGGGGAGCGAACCGGAUUAGAUACCCGGGUAGUCCUGGCUGUAAAGGAUGCGGGCUAGGUGUCGGGCGAGCUUCGAGCUCGCCCGGUGCCGAAGGGAAGCCGUUAAGCCCGCCGCCUGGGGAGUACGGCCGCAAGGCUGAAACUUAAAGGAAUUGGCGGGGGAGCACUACAAGGGGUGGAGCGUGCGGUUUAAUUGGAUUCAACGCCGGGAACCUCACCGGGGGCGACGGCAGGAUGAAGGCCAGGCUGAAGGUCUUGCCGGACACGCCGAGAGGAGGUGCAUGGCCGCCGUCAGCUCGUACCGUGAGGCGUCCACUUAAGUGUGGUAACGAGCGAGACCCGCGCCCCCAGUUGCCAGUCCUCCCCGCUGGGGAGGAGGCACUCUGGGGGGACCGCCGGCGAUAAGCCGGAGGAAGGAGCGGGCGACGGUAGGUCAGUAUGCCCCGAAACCCCCGGGCUACACGCGCGCUACAAUGAGCGGGACAAUGGGAUCCGACCCCGAAAGGGGAAGGUAAUCCCCUAAACCCGCUCCCAGUUCGGAUCGCGGGCUGCAACUCGCCCGCGUGAAGCUGGAAUCCCUAGUACCCGCGUGUCAUCAUCGCGCGGCGAAUACGUCCCUGCUCCUUGCACACACCGCCCGUCACUCCACCCGAGCGGGGUCUGGAUGAGGCCUGGUCUCCCUUCGGGGAGGCCGGGUCGAGUCUGGGCUCCGUGAGGGGGGAGAAGUCGUA
rnacentral:rRNA from 1 species